UCUAUAAUGGCAGAAAUUAGUGCAAUGGAUUUAAGCUCCAUAAAUAAAGUAUUCCUUUUUUUAGAA
rnacentral:tRNA from 1 species